rnacentral:lncRNA from 1 species
UUAAAGACAUUGGCAGACAGCAAAAUGUUCACUGGUCAAAGGGCGGGACUGGGAUCAAGGAAAAGUGACUGCAGUUGCCGUCUAACCACUGUUCACUCGUCUCCUUUCUCUUCAUCGCUGACAACUGACUAGUCGGUGAUUGACUGCUGCAGGUGCACGUCACACCUGCUGUUGCCCACUGUCUACCUGGAUCGCACUUCUUGUACCUCAAAACAUUCAGUUCUAUCCAUUCAUCUUCUUGCCCCGUGAUGGCCCUCCAUACAAGCCUACUGGAUCGGUGGCCGAAGUGGUGGAAAUCAUCAUAAAAAAUAUGAAUUUCUGAUAUGACUACACUGUACCGCAGGAUGCGAAUUUCGGGUACAAGAUGGCGAACGGUUCUUGGACGGGGAUAAUCGGCACUCUUGAGCGGAAUUAUAAAAAAGCUGCGAGAGUCUGGCAUUCUGGAGCACCUUUUCAUGAAGUAUGUGGUGCACGCAAGUACCUGCCUUCGCUCACCCCCCACCAACGUAGACAACACACUCAGGCCGCUGGGGAUUUGAGACAUGUACGGCGUUUGUUUAGUCUACGUUGUAGGAAUGACAAUUGCUGCUUUGAUUCUCUUGACGGAGAUGGCGGUGGCCUGGAUUGGAAAAUGAACGAUGUAACAAAACUCUGCCAUUGAGUAUCCCUGUCUAGAAAACACUACACUUGUCCUACGUUUAACCCCUUCAAUAUUGGGGCACAUUCUUACCUUGAGACUUAUGUACGACUAGAACAUUUUAUUGACAUUAGGAAGGGUCUAUGGUCAGAAGAUUAAUGGCCACAGUUUUCCCUAUUUCAAUCCCCCAAGUGAGUUUCUGAAGCUGUAUAAAUUCACUAAAUAGUAAGCAGAAUGGAUAUGGAAAUACGUCAUGGUACUCAAGGAGUUAAUUAUCAUUGUCAACGGAACUACCAAUGACCUGAAGACUGUAUGAACGUAUGUCGAUAUCACUCCCAUCAUUCUCUCUCUCUCUCUCUCUCUCUCUCUCUCUCUCUCUUGGUAAAAACAACUCUUGAUAAUGUAAAUAUAUUUUUCAUACAACUGGUAUUGACGAAAAGAAAAUGGAAAAAAUUCAAUCCCUCUUUAAGUCAAGGGAUGCAAGAAAAGGCAGUAAGUGAAAGAGGAGACGAGGAGGAACUAAAAUCAGAACUUAUGGAAUGCAAGAGAAAAUAAUAAGCAGAAGAGGCGAUGAUUAGAAAGCAGAGUAAAAAAAUCUGCAGAGAGAGAGAGAGAGAGAGAGAGAGAGAGAGAGAGAGAGAGAGAGAGAGAGAGAGAGAGAGAGAGAGAGAGAGAGAUUUUUCGUUUUAAUAGUAAUGCUUAUCAGUGUAGCACACCACGUGUUUCGUUUCAUCUUUUUUUCUAGCUAGAUAACUCAGCGACAUUUCUUAGAAGUGUUUUUUUUUUUUUCAUUUUAUUCCGAUAAUCACCACCAUCACUAUCCAAUCCUUUGAUACAAUCAGGGUCAAUGGCCGCCUCCUAACUUUCUCCAUUGAUCUCUAUCGAUUGCCCGUCCACCUCAGCUCCCUCUCGAAUGGAACACUGCCCUGAAACCAACAUCGUAGCACUAAACACACGUAUUGCUCGACAAAAAUACUUUCAGUUCACUCAGAUACAAUAUUAAAGGCUUUCCUUACUAUCCUUUUUUUUUUUAAUAUCAAGAAAUGGAACUUUAAAGAAAACUAAUAUUAAUAUCGUUAUUAUAGGACGCACAAUUCGCAAUCCAGUAGUACACUGAUGCUAUGUUGCUUGAUACUGCUGGUGUACAUCAUUAAAUGCUACAGCCUAUACGCCCAGUGACUGAUAUGCUAAUGCUACAGGAGAAGCUUUUGGCAUUACAGGCAGCCUACAUUAAACUACAAACGCAAAAUUUUCAAAUAAAAAAAAAAAUAAAUAAAUAAAUAAAUAAAAAAUAAAUAAAUAAAAUAAAAUGAGAAGAUAAUUUUCAAAGGAAGAUAUUGAUAUCAUUCAAUCUUAUUUUAAUCACCCGAAUGAAUGCUUGUUUCCAUCAAGCCUCUUCCGUCCCGCCAGUCAUCACUUUCAAGAAGUCGUGUAACUCUGCCUUUGUUUUCACCACUUCAGUUACAUUUAAUCUGAAAUCACACAGUCAAGUUAUUGGCGCAAUCAUAUCAAGUUAAUUAAUGCUUUUAUUUUCUCAUCAUACAACCUAUCGUAAUGAUUAGUUUGUAAUAAAUGGAGCAAACAUGUCAUCUGUAUCAGUUACCUUUGUCUUAGUCAAUGCAGUUAUUUCUUCUGACGUAUGUUUCCUUCCUGGAAGAUGCCCUUCUUAUUUCUUUGACGGGCCGGAGCAAGACUUGUGACGAGCUCGCGACAAGCAUCAACAUUGGGCCAUUGCUAGCGGACAGUGGCUCGGUGCCCACUGGUGCUUGCAAGGAUCACUGCUCGCACUUGCUCAUUCCGCUGACGCACAAUGAAAAAAGUUAUGAAUCUUCUGCAUAAUAUUAUUCUUUAUUCCAUCGAUGAGUCGCACUAGAUUUGCUGCGCGUUUUCCAUGAUCGUAGACGAUUCGUGCUAGUAUCGCACAGCAAUCACACAUUCAUGGCGCGUUUACAGGGCAUUCACUAACACCACGUUAGCAAAGCAUAAGUCAUAACCUAGCCACAGCUGAAUCGUCAUCAAAAUUUACCAAUUCAUAGUUCCUGCCAAUGUGAAUGUUUCUGUUGAGAUGUAAUAUAUGACUAAAUCACGAGUGGAACGCUAUUGUAAGUGAUGAUAAAACCUGAAGCACUCGAAAUUCAGACUAGAUGUAUGGAAACUUCGUUUCCAGUCUGCUCACACUAUAGCAAUAGCCUUUGCAAAAUUCUGCCUCCUUGAAAUUUUCUCGAUACUUCCUAAUCUUCUUAACCUGCGUGAGUUUGCUAACAAUACAAAAUGUCCAAAUGAUAGG